rnacentral:rRNA from 1 species
AUUGAACGCUGGCGGCAGGCCUAACACAUGCAAGUCGAGCGGAUGAGAAGAGCUUGCUCUUCGAUUCAGCGGCGGACGGGUGAGUAAUGCCUAGGAAUCUGCCUGGUAGUGGGGGACAACAUUUCGAAAGGAACGCUAAUACCGCAUACGUCCUACGGGAGAAAGCAGGGGACCUUCGGGCCUUGCGCUAUCAGAUGAGCCUAGGUCGGAUUAGCUAGUUGGUGAGGUAAUGGCUCACCAAGGCGACGAUCCGUAACUGGUCUGAGAGGAUGAUCAGUCACACUGGAACUGAGACACGGUCCAGACUCCUACGGGAGGCAGCAGUGGGGAAUAUUGGACAAUGGGCGAAAGCCUGAUCCAGCCAUGCCGCGUGUGUGAAGAAGGUCUUCGGAUUGUAAAGCACUUUAAGUUGGGAGGAAGGGCAGUAAGUUAAUACCUUGCUGUUUUGACGUUACCGACAGAAUAAGCACCGGCUAACUCUGUGCCAGCAGCCGCAGUAA